UACAGAGGGGGCAAGCGUUAUUCGAAAUUAUUGGGCGUAAAGGGCGCGUAGGCGGCCUGGCAAGUGGAAGGUGAAAUCCCUCGGCUUAACCGAGGAACUGCCCUCCAAACUGCUUGGCUUGAGUCCGGGAGAGGUGAGUGGAAUUCCCAGUGUAGCGGUGAAAUGCGUAGAUAUUGGGAGGAACACCAGUGGCGAAGGCGGCUCACUGGACCGGAACUGACGCUGAGGCGCGAAAGCGUGGGGAGCAAACGGG
rnacentral:rRNA from 1 species